rnacentral:lncRNA from 1 species
GACAGUGCAGUUUCCAGACCCAGGCCCUGAGCUGAGGGGCCUCAGGGCUCAGAAAGGGCCUAGGCCUCAGAUCUCUGGUGAGCGGGGAGCCCAAAAUGGCCCUGGAGGCCACAGCUCCAGAACUAGACCCGUGGAGAAUGGAGGGCUGGGGCCCUGCACAUUCUCAAGCAGUAGUAGCAACACUGUCAUUGUCCUGCCCUUGGUAUAAGCCUGAAGAACCACCCUUUCUUACCCGGCUUCUGCUCCCCUUUUCCAGGGGCUCCUGUGGGAAAUCCCGGGUACUUCCUGGGACUGGUCUGUCUAUAUGUUUGGAAACCACAGAGCUGACCUGGCUUCAGAACAAGAUGUGGGGCUCCAGGCACCCGGGAGACCAGUGACCCUGAUUGGCAAUAGCCGCAAGAAAGGGCUUGGAGACAGGGGCCAGGCGCGGUGGCUACCCCUGUAAUCGCAGCACUUUGGGAGGUCAAGGCAGGUGGAUCACUUGAGGUCAGGAGUUGGAGACCAGCCUGGCCAAUGUGGUAAAACCCUGUCUCUACUAAAAAUACAAAAAAAAAAAAAAAAAAUUAGCCAAUGUGGUGGUGUAAGCCUAUAGUCCCAGCUACUCGGGAGGCUGAGGCAGGAAAAUCACUUGAACCCAGGAGGGAGGGUGCAGUGAGCAGAGAUCACACCACUGCACUCCAGCCUGGGCAACAGAGUGAGACUCCAUCAAAAAAAAAAAGAAAAGAAAGAAAGGGCUUGGAGACAGGGCCCUAACCCUGGAAUCCAGAUGUUGCCAAAGCAGCCCCCUCCUGUUCCUCUGUCUGCCUGGGAAGAAGCAGGAGUUGGCCACCCACACAGGCAGGGCGGGCCCUUCACCACCCAGCUCCACCCCGGAAUCCAAGGGCCUCUGUUUGCUGCUGUUUUCUGGAACAACUUGUUUUGAUCUAGAGAAAUCUGCUGACACCGGCCUUCCUGCUCUCACCCUCCAGCUGGGCAGAGGUAUUUUUAGACUUAUUUGUAGAGGAAGAGAGCAGAACCCAGGCCCAAUGUGUACCCUCCUUACUGUGGGCACAGCUUUGGCCCCUUAAGGCAGGACAGAGAUAUCCAUGUGGUUGUCUACCCUCAGCUCAUCUCUCCUUAAAUACAUUCCUUUCCCGAGAAAAACGAGCUGUGUGGAACUUGGAGGCCAGCAAAGCUUCUACAUAAGGACCCUCUGAAACAGUGCCCUUUUGUCCUUGAAAACCCAGGGUGGCAAAGGCAGCUCCAGAUACAAGGGCACAAAGGAGACUUGGUUCCCUUUGUGACAGGGAAGCCUAUGCUUUACAGAAUCCUAUGUUUUGUAUGUCAGUAAUUGUCCCUACUUAAAAAAAAAUCUAUAUAUAUAUAUGUAUUAGAAAGGGUCUCACUCUUGUUGGCCAGCCUGGAGUGCAGUGGCACAAUCAUAGCUCACUGCAGCCUCAAAAUCCUAGGCUCAAGGGAUCCUGCUGCCUCAGUCUCCCCAGUAGCUGAGACUACAGGCAGUCAUGUGCACCUGGCUUUUUUUUUUUUUUUUCUUUCAUUUUUUGUAGAGACAGGGUCUUGCUGUGUUUCCCAGGCUGGUCUCGAACUCCUGGCCUCUAGGCAAUCCUCCCACCAUGGCCUUCAAAAGCGAAUGGAUCCCACUCUUUUUUGAAAAAUAAAAUCUACCAUAGUUUGUUUCUGGGAUUUGGGAAUGAUGUGUGUGAAUUAGAGAGAUUUCGAGACCUGAAAUAGAGAAAAGCAAGUUAAGACAUCAACUGGGGCCCAGAAACAGCACUACAGCGGGGACGACCCACCUCUCAGAUGCCUGGUGAGAUAAAGAAAGGUCUGGCUGACUCCACUGCCCAGUACUGUGAAGCAGCAGUGAAGACUCCUCCAUUGGUUUCAUAAGCUGCCCAGCUUUCUAGAACAUUUUGACAGACAAUUCCCUCUUUCCACACGGUUCUUUCAGGCCAAAUCACCCCACCCCAACCCACCCCUGGAGAUACAGUCAGGAAGAGACUGAUGGGGCAGAUCCUGGAGGAGGCCGCACUGCCGGAAUCUUCCCCUGGCAGAGAAACAGGGCUAAGCAGGCGCCAGGGAGCAAGCCUGGGCUUGCCACAUCACCACCUUCUGUGCUGAAGGUCAGAUGACACACAGUCACCAGUUUUCCGAGAAGCACAGGGAGGGGUGCAUGUCAGGCCCAGCCCUGCCUGCUGAUACCACCUCACAGACGCAGGCGAAAUGUCUUCACCAGCUUCUUCUCGGUUGCCAAGGGGGCCUGCUUUCAAGGGGUUGUUUUGUAUGGGGUGUGGGUGUUAACCAGGGAGAGGUUCCUGGCAGGAGUUCCUGUCAGAUGCCAUUUUCCAUUCUGGUUACUUGAACCGGGGUCCUUUUUCAUCCUCUACCUCAGGGGCCAGAGCUUCCUCAUCACCCUGCACCCCCUAGCAAGGGAGGUGCCCGCUACACGGUCCAAAGUCCUCUCCAGACAUUCGGGCCCUGCCCGCCUUGCUGGAGGGCUCAGGAGUUCACCAGGGAUGCGCAUUCUCAGGAAACACGUCCCCUCGCCAGGCCCCUGGGAAGAGUCAAAACCACGAUGCCUGCCCCUGAAGCGCCCGCGCGGCUCCACGGGGCUCCAUGUUGUCACCCACUAGCUCCUGGACGCUAUCAGCCCGCAGCAGGGUUUCCUGGCCAGAGAAACCGCCUGUUGGGGUGCGGAGCGUUCCACGUCCCCUCGCAGCACCCCGCUGGCCUUCUGGGCCGCCCCGCCCCCAACCCGCGCCCGGGCGCUGACGUCAUCGGCCGAGCCCGACUCGGAACCACCGCCCGAAAGUCACGCGCGCCUCCCGGCGGGACGUGCCCUCUGCAGAGAUCCCUCCGCCGCCGCCUGGAAUUUUCCAGAUGUCCUGCCGGCCCUUCUUUCGGGCCUCGGCUGGGCGUGGUGACCUCAAGCGACCCCGGCGGCUCCCGUCGCCCACUCAAGAGGGCGCCCCCGCCCGCCACGCCCCCAGCCCCUCUCGGGGAAGCGCGUCCCCCGCCCGACCUCAACAACAUCCGGGAAGAAAAGGGGUCUUCUUCCUCAUGGCAUUCGCCUCCCAAAUGUCACCUUGAGCGCUGUCCGCGAUCCCAAAAAGCACUGUUAAAGAGAAGCGGGGAUACACUGGGGUCCUUGCGUGGGGGCCGCCUGGGAGACCAUGCACCGCCCGGGAGUCUCUCCGGGCAGGGUCGGGGAGGGACUUUUUUGCCGGUGGCCGUGGAGGAAUCGUCCCGUUGAGCAAUGACCCCGGUGACGCGGCUGAGGGCUAUAAAAGCAAAAGUUGUGGCAAGUCCAGCCGGAGUUAGCGACAGGGAGGGAUGCGCGCCUGGGUGUAGUUGUGGGGGAGGAAGUGGCUAGCUCAGGGCUUCAGGGGACAGACAGGGAGAGAUGACUGAGUUAGAUGAGACGAGGGGGCGGGCUGGGGGUGCGAGAAGGAAGCUUGGCAAGGAGACUAGGUCUAGGGGGACCACAGUGGGGCAGGCUGCAUGGAAAAUAUCCGCAGGGUCCCCCAGGCAGAACAGCCACGCUCCAGGCCAGGCUGUCCCUACUGCCUGGUGGAGGGGGAACUUGACCUCUGGGAGGGCGCCGCUCUUGCAUAGCUGAGCGAGCCCGGGUGCGCUGGUCUGUGUGGAAGGAGGAAGGCAGGGAGAGGUAGAAGGGGUGGAGGAGUCAGGAGGAAUAGGCCGCAGCAGCCCUGGAAAUGAUCAGGAAGGCAGGCAGUGGGUGCAGGGCUGCAGGAGGGCCGGGAGGGCUAAUCUUCAACUUGUCCAUGCCAGCAGCCCCUUUUUUUCCAGACCAAGGGCUGUGAACCCGCCUGGGGAUGAGGCCUGGUCUUGUGGAACUGAACUUAGCUCGACGGGGCUGACCGCUCUGGCCCAGGGUGGUAUGUAAUUUUCGCUCGGCCUGGGACGGGGCCCAGGCCGGGCCCAGCCUGGUGGAGCGUCCAGGUCUGGGUGCGAAGCCAGGCCCCUGGGCGGAGGUGAGGGGUGGUCUGAGGAGUGAUGUGGAGUUAAGGCGCCAUCCUCACCGGUGACUGGUGCGGCACCUAGCAUGUUUGACAGGCGGGGACUGCGAGGCACGCUGCUCGGGUGUUGGGGACAACAUUGACCAACGCUUUAUUUUCCAGGUGGCAGUGCUCCUUUUGGACUUUUCUCUAGGUUUGGCGCUAAACUCUUCUUGUGAGCUCACUCCACCCCUUCUUCCUCCCUUUAACUUAUCCAUUCACUUAAAACAUUACCUGGUCAUCUGGUAAGCCCGGGACAGUAAGCCGAGUGGCUGUUGGAGUCGGUAUUGUUGGUAAUGGUGGAGGAAGAGAGGCCUUCCCGCUGAGGCUGGGGUGGGGCGGAUCGGUGUUGCUUGCCUGCAGAGAGGGUGGGGAGUGAAUGUGCACCCUUGGGUGGGCCUGCAGCCAUCCAGCUGAAAGUUACAAAAAUGCUUCAUGGACCGUGGUUUGUUACUAUAGUGUUCCUCAUGGCGAGCAGAUGGAACCGGGAGACAUGGAGUCCCUGGCCAGUGUGAGUCCUAGCAUUGCAGGAGGGGAGACCCUGGAGGAGAGAGCCCGCCUCAAUUGAUGCCUGCAGAUUGAAUUUCCAGAGGCUUAGGAGGAGGAAGUUCUCCAAUGUUCUGUUUCCAGGCCUUGCUCAGGAAGCCCUGUAUUCAGGAGGCUACCAUUUAAAGUUUGCAGAUGAGCUUAUGGGGGGCAAUCUUAAAAAGUCCACAGCAGAUGCAUCCGGCUCGAGGGGCCAUCAGCUUUGAAUAAAUGCUUGUUCCAGAGCCCAUGAAUGCCAGCAGGCACCCCUCCUUUCCUGGGGUAAAGGUUUUCAGAUGCUGCAUCUUCUAAAUUGAGCCUCCGGUCAUACUAGUUUUGUGCUUGGAACCUUGCUUCAAGAAGAUCCCUAAGCUGUAGAACAUUUUAACGUUGAUGCCACAACGCAGAUUGAUGCCUUGUAGAUGGAGCUUGCAGAUGGAGCCCCGUGACCUCUCACCUACCCACCUGUUUGCCUGCCUUCUUGUGCGUUUCUCGGAGAAGUUCUUAGCCUGAUGAAAUAACUUGGGGCGUUGAAGAGCUGUUUAAUUUUAAAUGCCUUAGACUGGGGAUAUAUUAGAGGAAGCAGAUUGUCAAAUUAAGGGUGUCAUUGUGUUGUGCUAAACGCUGGGAGGGUACAAGUUGGUCAUUCCUAAAUCUGUGUGUGAGAAAUGGCAGGUCUAGUUUGGGCAUUGUGAUUGCAUUGCAGAUUACUAGGAGAAGGGAAUGGUGGGUACACCGGUAGUGCUCUUUUGUUCUUGCUUCGUUUUUUUAAACUUGAACUUUACUUCGUUAGAUUUCAUAAUACUUUCUUGGCAUUCUAGUAAGAGGACCCUGAGGUGGGAGUUGUGGGGGACGGGGAGAAGGGGACAGCUUGGCACCGGUCCCGUGGGCGUUGCAGUGUGGGGGAUGGGGGUAUGCAGCUUGGCACUGGUACUGGGAGGGAUGAGGGUGAAGAAGGGGAGAGGGUUGGUUAGAGAUACAGUGUGGGUGGUGGGGGUGGUAGGAAAUGCAGGUUGAAGGGAAUUCUCUGGGGCUUUGGGGAAUUUAGUGCGUGGGUGAGCCAAGAAAAUACUAAUUAAUAAUAGUAAGUUGUUAGUGUUGGUUAAGUUGUUGCUUGGAAGUGAGAAGUUGCUUAGAAACUUUCCAAAGUGCUUAGAACUUUAAGUGCAAACAGACAAACUAACAAACAAAAAUUGUUUUGCUUUGCUACAAGGUGGGGAAGACUGAAGAAGUGUUAACUGAAAACAGGUGACACAGAGUCACCAGUUUUCCGAGAACCAAAGGGAGGGGUGUGUGAUGCCAUCUCACAGGCAGGGGAAAUGUCUUUACCAGCUUCCUCCUGGUGGCCAAGACAGCCUGUUUCAGAGGGUUGUUUUGUUUGGGGUGUGGGUGUUAUCAAGUGAAUUAGUCACUUGAAAGAUGGGCGUCAGACUUGCAUACGCAGCAGAUCAGCAUCCUUCGCUGCCCCUUAGCAACUUAGGUGGUUGAUUUGAAACUGUGAAGGUGUGAUUUUUUCAGGAGCUGGAAGUCUUAGAAAAGCCUUGUAAAUGCCUAUAUUGUGGGCUUUUAACGUAUUUAAGGGACCACUUAAGACGAGAUUAGAUGGGCUCUUCUGGAUUUGUUCCUCAUUUGUCACAGGUGUCUUGUGAUUGAAAAUCAUGAGCGAAGUGAAAUUGCAUUGAAUUUCAAGGGAAUUUAGUAUGUAAAUCGUGCCUUAGAAACACAUCUGUUGUCUUUUCUGUGUUUGGUCGAUAUUAAUAAUGGCAAAAUUUUUGCCUAUCUAGUAUCUUCAAAUUGUAGUCUUUGUAACAACCAAAUAACCUUUUGUGGUCACUGUAAAAUUAAUAUUUGGUAGACAGAAUCCAUGUACCUUUGCUAAGGUUAGAAUGAAUAAUUUAUUGUAUUUUUAAUUUGAAUGUUUGUGCUUUUUAAAUGAGCCAAGACUAGAGGGGAAACUAUCACCUAAAAUCAGUUUGGAAAACAAGACCUAAAAAGGGAAGGGGAUGGGGAUUGUGGGGAGAGAGUGGGCGAGGUGCCUUUACUACAUGUGUGAUCUGAAAACCCUGCUUGGUUCUGAGCUGCGUCUAUUGAAUUGGUAAAGUAAUACCAAUGGCUUUUUAUCAUUUCCUUCUUCCCUUUAAGUUUCACUUGAAAUUUUAAAAAUCAUGGUUAUUUUUAUCGUUGGGAUCUUUCUGUCUUCUGGGUUCCAUUUUUUAAAUGUUUAAAAAUAUGUUGACAUGGUAGUUCAGUUCUUAACCAAUGACUUGGGGAUGAUGCAAACAAUUACUGUCGUUGGGAUUUAGAGUGUAUUAGUCACGCAUGUAUGGGGAAGUAGUCUCGGGUAUGCUGUUGUGAAAUUGAAACUGUAAAAGUAGAUGGUUGAAAGUACUGGUAUGUUGCUCUGUAUGGUAAGAACUAAUUCUGUUACGUCAUGUACAUAAUUACUAAUCACUUUUCUUCCCCUUUACAGCACAAAUAAAGUUUGAGUUCUAAACUCAUUAGAAUUGUUGUAUUGCUAUGUUACAUUUCUCGACCCCUAUCACAUUGCCUUCAUAACGACUUUGGAUGUAUCUUCAUAUUGUAGAUUUAGGUCUAGAUUUGCUAGCUCCAAGUAAUUAAGGCCAUGUAGGAGAGCAUGGUAACCACAGAUAGAACUGGUAUUAUCCCAAGUGGUCUGCAGACUGCUGAGUGGGGAUGGGAUCUGCUCUCUGUUGAGAGUUGGUAAUCAUUGGUUUGAAAUGUGAUGAAACCACUCAAGCCAAUGAAGGUGGGUGUGUAGGUGGGGAGUACUUUGCCAUAAUAUUUUAAAACAUUACCUGGUUAGAGUUCUAAGUGGUACUUAUUUUUGUUUGGUUAGGGGAAAGCCUGAAUAAAAACAGAAAUGGACACAUAAUAUGCAUAUUCCAUAGUCUUUGGGAGGCUGGAAUGUGCCUGGGAUUUGGGUCUAAGUGUAUGCGUAAUUCUUACCUCACUAAAGAAUUUGCCUUGUUUUUUUCCUUUUGGUGAGUGACUAAAACGUCUGGGCUUCCCUGUGUGCGUGCUACAGUAAGCAAGCAGAGGCUGUGCAAAGGUGUGAGCAGGAUCACGUGGAAUCUGGAGGAUACAUCUUGGCUUGCAAACUGCCUCUGUCUCCUGGGUGGGACUGUUCUGUCCUUGCACUGCUGUUCUGUGUUACCUCUUGGGGUGUAAGGUUUUGCUUACAGGAGACAAACUUUGGGCGUAGAAUGGAAGCCACUGCCAGCCUCUGUGCUGAGAAGGAAGGUGCUUGUUUCAAAGGGAGCAGCAAGGGAGGCUUGUUCUACUCACCUGGGCCUGUUUGCCUGAGAAGGGGAGAUAAGGGCUGAACUGGGACUAGCCAGGGGGACCAACACAAAUGGUGGGGGAUCAUGACCUGAAGGAUUCUUUCCUUCCCAUGAGCUGCAGGGCUGGUUGCCGUCCUUGCAACUGUGUCUUAUUUGCCUGUGCCGUUAUAUCUUGGUGACCCCUCCACGUGUACACUACUGACAAACGGGUGGAGUGCUGGGGAGAAGUCACUGUGCCGCCCACCUAGUAAACCUUCUGUCUGUGCUCAUGGCAUCUCCAAGAUGGGGCACUGCUGUGUGCAGAAUCCAGGGUCCUCUUUCUGCUUGCAACUCCUUUCCCUGGAUGCCCCAGAAACAAUCCAGGCCUCCUUUCCUAUCUUACCCCUUUGCUUUGCUUUUUACCCCAGCACCUCUAUAACCGCCUUCUCUUCUUUUCAGAACUCCUUGUUUCUCGUCCUGUUUUUUAUGAUUACAAAACUCUUGCUUCCACCCUGGAAGAUAACUGCUAUAGAUGCCUGUAUGUAAAUGGUGCUGUCUCCAGCAACUGGCAUGCUGAAGAAGAAUUGAUUCACGGGGUAUAAAUGUUGGGGAUUGGAAGUGGGGAUGAAAUGGCACUUGUUGAUACAGGAGCAGAGAGGUGAGGCCGACUGCUGAAGACAGCUCGCCACCCUCCUUGCCUCCACUCCAAUCCAGGGGCUGGGGCCACAUUCUUUGCCUUCAUUUAUCCUCAGAUCAGGUGAGAUCGACAGGAGGUGUUGAUGGCAGUGCCAGCAAUUAUUGCUAAUCCGUUUGCAUCCUUAUGCAUAGAUCUGAAUUCAGACUUUGUGAAUUUCCAGAGGUGUGGGUAAUAUAAUAGAAUUCAGUGAGUGGGCAUGGCUGAUCUUGUGCAAAUUAAAAGUUAUGGGGCAUAAGAAUAGCAAAAGUUGAACUUCUUUUAAAAAGGAAAGUACCCUGAGAGCCAGUAUUGGUUGAGGCUCUUCAGUAUGCCCAGGUUGGCAGCACUGAGAACCGCAGGAACGGCCUGUUGUUACAAAAAGGAGAUUGACUCAGCUGCCCUUGGUGCAUCUGACUGACUAUGACUGCUGAGAGAUUCCAAGGACCCUUAAUGCCAGGGCUAACCUCUCCAUGUGCAGUGAGACCUCUGGAGGAAGUGUCAUCCUCUGGCUUUGUGUGGUACUCAUUAUGGUGCAGUGCGGGCAUGAAAUGAAGACACCCAAAUAGGCUUACAGAUACGAUAUGUUUUAAAUGUUCGUAUUUAACAAAAACAUACUGACACUGUUUGGAAAUGGCAACAGGAAGAUAGCAAAAUGAAUACUAACAUUACGAAAAGAUGAACAGGUACAUGUUCCAAGGCAGGUGGCUGUGAACUUCCUCUGAGUGAAGGCAUCCCCUCCAGCACCUUUCAGCCUGCUAGUUAGGACGACCCGCCGCCACCCUCCAGGACCUCCAGCCCUGCACUGCCUUUCCUCUCUUUUAAAUAAUUCUUCAUUGAGUUCUAAUAUGUAAAAAAAAAAAGUUUACUGUAAAGUUUGCAAAUAAGGAAAUUUUUUUUAAAAGUCCUCAGUAAUCUUACCAGUAACAAUUGUUAUGGGCACAUUUGCUUUUGGAAGAUUUCUUUUGUAUGCAUGGGAUAAGUACAUUUUUAAACAAAAAUGGGAUUAUGCCAUAAAUUCUAUUUUGUGACUUUAAUAUAUAGUGAACACCUUUUUUAAUGAUGACAGGAUGUUCCCUUGCAUGGCUGUAUCAAUUUAAACAAUCUUGUUUCAAUGGGCAUACAGGGUAUUUUCUAGUUUUUUUUUCCUCUUAGAAAAUAAUACUUGCGAUGACUUUCCUUGUAGCUCAGACUUUUUCACGUCUGUUGUUAUCUCUUUGGGAAUGCUGAAUACAUACAUUUCGAGAAGGAAAUGACUGUUAAACUCUUAAGACUUCAGGUUCAUAUUGCUAAACUGCCCAGCAGGGAGGGAUUUUUUCAAUUAGUGUUCUCACUGGUGAGGCAAACCUGAUGCCUUCCCCUCUUCCUCAGAACCGGCUUUAUCACAUUGAAAACCUUUGCUCCUCCGACGGAUCGAGUCUGCUUUCCCUCUGGAUGUGAGCAUUGCUUUGUCUGCUGGUGACUGAACAUCUCUACCUUGUGUCAAUUGGCCAUUUGUGGUGUGUGUGUGUGUGCGUGUGUGUGUGUGUGUGUGUGUAUGAUUUUCUAAUUCCUAGUCAUUUUUCUAUUGAUUGUUUUGCAAAAGCCAUUUACAUCUUAAGGAUAUUGAUAAUCUUUUGUUAUAUUUGAUGCAAAUAUUUUUUUCCAGUUUAUAGGUUGCCUUUUAAUUUUGUGUUUCAGGUAGAUAAAAGUUAAACGAUUUUCUUAGGUUAGUUUAUCACUGUGGUUUCUGAACUUGUUAUGUGUAGAUCUUUUCCACCCCAAGAGUACAUAAAUAUUAAUCCAUACUUUCUUAUGGAACUUGUAUGGUUUCGUUUUUUACAUUUAAACCUUCUUCCCCGUGGUGUGUGUUGUGGAAUCUGUGUUUGUGUGAGGAGGGGCAUGGUGCUCUCAGAACCCACCUCCUGUGGCCAGAGAGCCCUGUCCUGUGAGGGUGGUUGUCACAGUGGCAGGGUUCAAUUCAGAAGACCUUGAGGGCAGGCUGAUGUUUCCUGAAUGGGCCCCUGGUUGUUGCUUGUCCCUGACUCUCCAUUUCCCCAUCUGAGUGGAUUUGGACCUAAUAGGGCACUGGAGCUGGUUCGAAUCCUGACUGGACUACUUGGCAACUUUAUGUCUGGGAGCAAGUUACUUAACCUCCCCAAGCCUGUGUCUGUGAAAUGCGGGUAAAUGAAUGUAGAUGUUUGGCAGCAGCUACUCCUUGUUGAGCUCUCACAGUGAACUCUCCUGCCUCUGCCCUCCUUCCCCGCCUCCCCUGGUGCCUAGCGUCAGGUCUAGCCACUUCCUCCUGGGCCCCUCUCCCUUUUCUGUGGCUGGCUGCCUGCCCGCCUGGCGCUGGACCUUUCAUGUAACGGGAAUCAGCAUGUAUAUUCUGGUCUGGUCUGUUUCUACACUUAAUUUUGUUUCCAGUAGUAUUUCCCUGUACCGGCAGAGUUCACAAACACAUUUGAAGAGGCUUUUUCUCAGGAUUCUUAACCUUCCCAAAGGAAGUCCCAUGGAUGGGUUUCUAGAAGUCUAUAAAUGCUCUGAAAUUGUAUUUUUCUGUGGAAAGCAUAACUUUCAUCUGCUUGUUCGUGCUCAAAAAAGAUCAUGAAUGAAUGAUUGCAUGAUUUUAUGCCAUUGUGCUUAUACUAAAGGAUAUGUAGCCCAUCUCUUGAGCUGUUAAACUGUUUUGACUACUUUAAAUCGUGCAGCUGUGAGCAUCUCUGUAAAUUUAGUGUACACAUGUAUCCCCUGGAGUGGCAUUGCCUCGGCAGUGAGCACUUAUGGUUUUAUAACUCUCUUCACAGACUCAAAUGACUCCAGAAAGCUACACUUCCUGUUGUGAGUAUAUGAUAUCCAUUUCCCUACAUAGCCACUAACAUCAGGUUUUUACAAUUUUAUUUAUUUCUUGCUACUUUAAGAAAUUUUUGUGGUGAAAUACAUAUAAUAGAAGUUGACUAUCUGAAUCAUUUUUAAGUAUACAUUCAGUAGUGUUAAGUAUGUCGCCAUUGUUGUACAACCAAUCUCCAGAACUUUUUCAUCUUGCAAAACAAACUCUGUACCCAUUAAAUAACAUUAAACAUUCCAUUCCCUCCAGCCUCAGCAACCCCAUUCUACUUUCUGUUUCUGUGAGUUUGACUAUUCCAAGCACUUCAUAUCAGUUAAAUCAUGAAGUAUUUGUCUGUCUGUGACUGGCUUAUUUCUCUGAGCACAGUGUCCUCGAGAUGCGUCUAUGUUGUAGCAUAUGUCAGAAUUUCCUUCCUUUUUAAAAGAUCCAAAUAAUAUUCUUAUUUUAUAUCUUUUUUUUAUCCAUUCAUCCAUUAGUGGACACUUGGGUUGCUUUUGGCUAUUGUAAAUAAUGGUGCUAUGUACAAAUAUCUAUAUUAUUGUAUUUACAAGUAUAAUGCUGUAAUGUACACACAUCUUUUUGAGAUCCUACCUUCAGUUCUUUUGAGUAUAUAGCCAGAAGUGGUAUUACUAAAUCUUACGAUAUUUCUAUUUUUAAUUUAUUGAGGAACCACUGUAGUUUUUCAUAGCAACUGCACCAUUUUACGUUCUCACCAAGAGUGCACAAGGGUUCCGAGGUUCCCACAUCCUCCCCAACACUUGUUAUUUUCUGCUUUUUUUAGAUUGCAGCCAUCAUAGUGGGUGUGAGGUGACAUUUCAUUGUGGUUUUGAUUUGCAUUUCCCUAAUGAGGAGUGAUGCUGAGCAUCUUUUCAUAUGCUUACUGGUCAUUUGUAUGUUGUCUUUGGAAAAAUGUCUAUUCAAGUCCUUUGACUAUUUUAAAAAUUGGGUUAUUAGAGUUAUCGUUGUUGUUGACUUGUAGGAGUUUCUUUCUAUAUUCUGGAUAUUAAUCCCCUAUCAGAUAUAUGAUUUGCAAAUAUCUUCUCUUAUUCCAUAAGGUUACUUUUUCACUUUGUUGAUUGUGUUCUUUGAUGUAUAGAAGUUUUUAGUUUUGAAAUAGUCUAAUUUAUCUGUUUUUACUUUUGUGGUCUGUGCUUUUGGUGUCAUAUCCAAGAAAUCCUUGCCAAAUCCAACGUUAUAAGGUACUUUUAAGGUAUUUUAGUUGUCUUAGUCUAUAUUUCUGUACUCACCUUUCUUUAUCCACUCAUCAGUUGAUGGGCAUGUAGGUUGGUUCCAUAUCUUUGCAAUUCUGAAUUGUGCUAUGAUCAGGUGUCUUUUUAGUAUAAUGAUUUACUCUCCUUUGGGUAGAUACCCAGUAGUGGGAUUGCUGGAUCGAAUGGUUUUUAUAAUUUUCUAUUUUACCACAGUUUCUCUCUGCAUUUUUCCUCUUUGACCACUAACCAUGUGAAAUUCUCAUAUUGACCUUUAUAAUGAUCAUGAACUCUUAGUAUCAUUGGGAAGGCCACAUUUGCCACUUAUGAUUGUAAACCUUAUCCUCCAUUUUUCCUGUUAUUGUUGGUGCAAAAAGCACCUAUUAUACCAGGACUUUAAAAAUCAGUCUGAUAAGUCUUUGAUAAGUCUAAUAAUAAUAACUGAUAAGUCCAUUGAAUUUGCUUCUGAUUACUUUUUCUUUAGUAGCUAAACAUGUAUGUACUCCUAUGAUUACAAUGAACACUCCUCUCCAUUUAAAUUAAUUAUUUACAUUGAUGAAAUAGCAAAAUGUUAAUGACUAAAUACUGUCUUGGUUUUUUCGUUCCAGGUCAGUCAAUAUUAACUUCUUAUAAUUUUCUUUUUUUUCUUUAUGUGUGUGUGUGUGUGUAUUUUUUUUUUUUUAAUUUCAAUGGCUUUUGGGGUACAAAUGGCUUUUGGUCAUAUAGAUGAAUUCUACAGUAGUGAAGUCUGAGAUUUUACUGCACCGGUCACCUGAGUAGUGUACAUUGUACCCAAUAUGUGGUUUUUUAUACCUUGCCCCCCUCUUACCCUCCCCACUUUGAGUCUCUAGUGUCCAUUAUGUCACUCUGUAUACCUUUUUGUACCCAUAAGUUAGCUCUCACUUAUAAGUGAGAACACACAGUAUUUGGUUUUCCAUUCCUGAGUUGCUUCACUUAGAAUAAUAUCCUCCAGCUCCAUCCAAAAUUGCUGCAAAAAAAAAAAAAACCACAAACAUUAUUUUGUUCUUUUUUAUUGCUAAGUCAUAUUCCAUGGUGUAGAGAUACCACAUUUUAUUUAUCCACUCACUGGUUGAUGGGUUGGUUCCACAUCUUUGCAAUUGUGACUUGUACUGCCAUCAAGUGUCUUUCUGGUAUAAUGACUUCUUUUCCUUUGGGUAGAUACCCAGGAGUGGGAUUGCUAGAUCAAAUGGUUCUUAACAUUUUCUCUCUGGAUCUAUUUCUGGAAAUUUUAGGCUCCAGUUUUUGUUGUUGUUGUUAAUAAAAUGCAAUGGAAUGUAAUGAUCAUCACUUUUCAUUAUGCUUUAAAAUCUGGUAAAUGGAGGCUAGAACACUCCUGUAAGGCAAGAAUAUUCUCUCUGUUGGAACUCAAAUACACAGAACUGGGUAAAUCUCAAUCUUAAUCUUUGAUUCAGGACACAACAUGGCUCUCUUUUACUUGCUUUCUUUAAUUGUUUUUUAAUAAUGUGGUAAGCAUUUCUGAAUCUCCUAUCCAAUACAAAAACUAGGACAAUACAGACAGUAACUCCUAUGGUUACAAUGAACACUCCUCUCCACUUAAAUUAAUUAUUUACACUGAUGAAAUUGAAAUAGCAAAAUUUUAAUGACUAAAUACUGUCUUUGAUUUUUUGUUCCAGGUCUGUCAAUAUUAACUUCUUAUAAUUUUCUUUUUUUUUCUUUAUGUGUGUGUGUGUGUGUGUAUAUAUAUAUAUUUAAUUUCAAUGGCUUUUGGGGUACAAAUGGCUUUUGGUCAUAUAUAUGAGUUCUACAGUAGUGAAGUCUGAGAUUUUACUACACCUUCCACUUAUGUGGUCCCACACCACCCGCCUCCCCUGCCGCCUCCUGCCACCCCCUAGGCCAAGGUAAUAAUCAUCCUGAAUCCUGGGUUUAUCUCUCACUUGCUUUCUUUUCAUAUAAUUUUGCAAAAGAAUCUGAUCUAAAUGUGUUUUUCAGAGUAUAUAUUUAUAUUUUAGCUGUUCUUAGAGAAAAUUUAUUAUUUUGCAUGUAAUCUUAUGGAACAUUCUCAUUUAAUACCAUGGUAAGAUUCAGCCCUUGCCCAGGGGAUAGUUCAUUUAGUUUGUUUACUGGAUAGAGCUCAUCAUGUGACUAUACCUCAGUUAGUUUAUCAGUUCUCCCAUCCAUGGUGACUAGGUUGCCUCUCAGCCUCUCAACAACACUGUUUCUCAGUGUCCUUGUAGAAGUGAUAUGUGGGUGUUUUCUCCUUACACAGAGUUGAAAGGUGACGACAACAACGUUGGCACUACCAAUCCCCCACCCUCCAGAGGGGUAACCAGUGUUACCAGUUUGCUGUGUUUCCUGCUACACCUCGCCUUAUUCACUUCCAUUUGUAUCUGAAAAACGUGUUGCAUGGUUUCUUUUCUAUAGAAGUGGUAAAAUGCUAUUGUGUCCUGUACAUUAUUGAUUACUUUUUUUCAUUUAACAGUAGGGAGAUGCCUGGGAGUACACAGAGAACUGCCCUCAUUGUUUUCAACUUCUGCACUGUAUGUCUGUGAGUUUAGCCAUUCUGCUGUUAAUGGAAAUUUACAGUAUUCUAAUCUUUUGAUAUUACAAACAGUUCUGUGCGAUCAUCGUCAUACACAACCCCUUGUGCACAAUGCAUGAGUGUUUCUCAGGGUAGGUACCAAGAAGUGAAAUUCCUGGGUCAUAGGGCGUGAGUCCGACAUUUUUCUCCAUUCUGCCCUGUUGCCCUCCAGAGUGGGUGUCCAGCUUUGCAUACCUAAGUAUGAGAGUAUCUGUUGUUCAUAUCCUCUACGACGCUCCAUAUAUGAAACUUAAGUUUCUGCUAGUUGCCAUCUUUGAUCUAUCAUGUAUGCAGUGACCUACUAAGACUGUAAUUGGUACAGUAGAUUCUUGUCAUCUGUGUGUGAAUUUAGCAUUCAUGGGCUUAAUGCUGACAAGGCCCCCAGGGUCCAAGACAUAUAAUCAUGUAUAAUUUUGUCAAGGUAUAAUUUUUUAAAUUGCUUUUGUCAUGUGUCUGCUGGUGAUGCCCAACCCAGUGCUCUGCACCCAGGUCACACUGUGGCUUUGUCCUCUGCUUAUGCCUGCAUUGCAGCAACUGUCCUGAAGAGACCAAAAUUAUGCAGAUUUAGGUAAGUCCAUGGCUAAUGUUAUUAUAUUAUGUGCUAUUGUAAUGGAUGGGGCUGUGGAGUGUAUGAAUUUAUAAAUCACUGGUCUUGUAAUUAAAAUUCAAACACUAUAGAAAAAGGCCAUGUAGAAGAUAAAAGUUCCUCUAUAAUCCCGGACCCCUAAGAUAACUACUAAUGACAACUUCAUUUAUAUUCCUUCAGACAUUUUCUGGCUGUGGAUGUACUAAAAUGUAUCCUAUUAUUCUCUGCCCUAAAAUGGAAUCAUACAAGGUGUACUGUUAUUUUUAUGGCUCUAUAACAUGUCAUAUUGUACGUGUUGGUAUGGUCAUUUUAACCAUUUUUCUAGUGAUGGCUUUGAGGUUAUUUGCAGUUUCCUAGCCAUCUCAAAGUGUGCUGCGGGGAUCUCUUUUGCAUCCCUCUGGGUGCAGAGCUGAGGCACCCAGAGGCAGUGUCCAGAGGAGGCAGCAUCUGUAGGUGUCUUCACCUGCUCUGGCUCUUGGCACAUCUGGUUGGUGACACUGUUUUGUGAGAUGGGUUGAAAGCACGUGCUGCCAAAAUAGAAUAAUGUUGGUCCUCUCCUCAUGUGCCGUGGAACUGGGGUAAAACUGCGUAGUGGCUGCAGCUGCCUGUCCAUACCGGAAUCGAGUAUAACACGGUGCCUGGCUUAGCACAAAACAGUAGUGGGUCCUGCAGGCCCCAGAGUCUAAUUCCUGGUAUUCUUUCCCCUACACAGAUUAAAUAAACCAAAAACAAACUAUUCUAGGAAAGCGUCUGUGACAUUUGUAAAAAGUGGUAUUUAAUGAUCUUUUAUUCACUUGUCUGUUUAGUUUGUUGAAAUCUUAAGUGGCAUCCUGGUCUGGGAAGGAGUGCUGUCUGCGCCUGCCCUCCGCUGGGCACAGCGUGGCUGCUUCAGGGGCUAAGCACACACUUUCUGUCUUCUAAAGGGCCGCCACAUGCCAGGAGCUCAGGUGUGAGCCCGGCUCUGGCUCUUACCUCAUAGGGUCACUCAUAGGGGCACAGGGAGCAGAACAUUGUACACAGCGAGGCACCACCCGGCUUGGCAUCUGCCUCGGUGGACUUACUACCUCUAGAAGGAAAUACCUGAGUUCCUCUGGCCUCAGCUCCUAGAGUGACUGGUGUGCUGUCCCUGUUACUCUUCUGUCAAGGUGACAACUGUGUGACCCAUCAUCUGUGUGUCAAAGCAAGGCCCUGCCUGGGCCUCUGCUCCUGUGCUGACCCCAAAGGCAAAUGCUUUGCUAGUUUCCUUCCAGUUAAUUUCACCUAUGAAUAGAUGUGUGAAAACUGUUCAAAGCCAUACCUGCACAUGUUUGAACUUCAAACCCUGUGGGUGAUUCAGUGGCAUCUUUCUCUAACCCCCAGCCUCCCUUCCCACAGAGGCCACCGUCAUGGCCAGUUGCUGCAGUUUCUUUCCAGAGAACCUGUGUAUGUGUAAAGCUGUACAGGCGUGGGUACACCACACAGCCUGUCUUGCACUGUGGACUGUUGAGUUACUAGUACAUCUAGAAUUCUCCUGGCUAUUCCAGGCUGCAUGUUUACCUUAACCUUCCCUGUGAUGUCUUCAUGCCGUUGUCUUCUUAUGCAAGAAUAAGGUACGUCUUUCCAUCCACUCACGUCUAUUUAAUUUGACUUUGCAUUACACAGAAAGCUGGUCUUGGUCUGUCUACCUCGGCAUCUAGUUGUCCUCACUGCCCCCUAGCCGACCCCACCCCAUCUGACUGACUACCCCAUCACAGAGUACUUUUAUUUACGUUUUGCUCUGCCUAAUGGUUACUUGAUACUGUCACGCCGACAGUGUCCAGUUCAGUGGUCUUUGCAGUUGAAAUGCUCCCGUACACACUGUCUUGUUAAAAAUGCCAGUAAGUUCAUACAAACCCAGCUUGCACCCAAGGUCACAUUCAGAGAGCGUAGGGCUGGGAUGGGUUGUUUUCCAAGCUUCUGCCACUGUGUGGCUAGCUCUUCCCACUGGGAAGUUCUGUGUACCCGGAAUGUCGGAGUGGAGUCCUGUUCUAGUGUCCAGCACCUGACCCUGUGCCCAACCCCUCAACAGCCUAUUCCUGCUGUCCACAGCCUGCUGGAACUUUUUACAAAAUAUGUUGCCAUGCUGGACCCUGGGCACUGGACAUAAGCCCCCUGGCAGCCUUUUUCAUGUCACCCAAAGGGGUAAUUGUCCUACUGGUGGUCUGUAAGAUGAGUUAGGGUGACUUGCUAAUAGACAUUGUAAAUCUUAAUAUUUAUGUAUGUAUUUUAUUAUUACCGGUUUUCCAUUUAUGAUGGUAAUAUUGUUUCUUCUAAGAAUAUUUAUUUUUCCUUCUAAAUAUUGAGAUAAAAUUCAUGCUUUUGAAAUGUUCUAUUCAGUGGCUUUUAGUAUAUUUGCUAUGUUGUGCAACCAUCGACACUAUCCAUUUCUAGAACUUUUUCGUCAUCCCAAACAGACGCUCUGUAUUCAUAAAAAAAUAACUUCCUACCUGUCUCUCCCCCUAGUCUUUGGUAACCUUUGUUAUACUGGUAAACUUUGUUGUGCUCUCUGUCUGUGUGAAUUUGCCUAUUCUAGGGGCCUCAUAUAAGUGUAAUCAUACAGUAUUUGUCUUUUUGGGUCUGUCUGAUUUCACUUAGCGGGUUUUCAGGGUUCAUUCAUGUUGCAGCAUAUAACAGUACUGCGUUCCUUUUUCUGGCUGAAUAAUAUUCCACUGUAUGGAUAGACCCCAUUUUGUUUAUUCACACAUCAUUUGGACAUUUGGAUUAUUUCUGGUUUUUGGCUAUUAUGAACAAUGGUGCUAUGAACAGUUGCGUACAAGUUUUUGUGUGAACAUAUGUUUUCAAUUCUCUCAUUAUAUACCUAGGAGUAGAAUUACUGGGUCAUAUGGUAACUGUAUAUUUUUGAGGAACUGCCAAACUAUUUUCCCACGUCCAUGCACCAUUUCACAUUCCCACCAGUAAGUAAGAGGGUUCCAAUUUCUGCGCAUUCUUGCCAACACUAGUUAUUAUCUGACUUUCUGGUUAUAAUCAUUCUAAUGAGUGUGAAGUAGCCUCUGGUGUCAUUUGGAUUUGCAUUUCUCUGAUGAGUGAUGCUAUCAAGCACCUUUGCUGGUGCUGUUGGCCAUAUGUGUAUGUUCCCUGGAGAAGUGUCUGUGCUGAGCCUUGGCCCACUUUUUAAUUAGGCGUUUGUCUUUUUAUUACUGAGUUGUAAGAGUUCUUUAUAUAUUCUGGAUUCUAGACCCUUAUCAGAUACAUGGUUUGCAAAUAUUUUCUCCCAUUCUGUGGGUUGUGUUUUCACUUUAUCGAUAAUGUCCUUAGACAUAUAAUAAAUUUGUAUUUUAAAAGUGACUUGAUUUGGCUGUGCAAGGUGGCUCACGCUUGUAAUCCCAGCACUUUGGGAGACUGAGGUGGGUGGAUCAUAUGAGGAGGCUAGGAGUUCGAGGUCAGCCUGGCCAGCAUAGCGAAAACUUGUCUCUACUAAAAAUACAAAAAUUAGUCAGGCAUGGUGGUGCACGUCUGUAAUACCAGCUUCUCAGGAGGCUGAGGCACGAGGAUCACUUGAACCCAGGAGGAGGAGGUUGCAGUGAGCUGAGAUCAUGCCAGGGCAACAGAAUGAGACUUUGUUUAAAAAAAAAAAAAAGUGACUUGAUUUAAGGGAAAAAAUGACUGGCUAUAUUCAGUCAGAUAUGGCAAAAAGUCUCAAGGUGUUAAUGUGAAUGAUUAAGGUCUUGGGGGGGGUGUCCCCUAUCAGACUACAGGUGUUUAGAGGCACAGAAAAAGGUGCAGUUGGGUUCUUAAUGUGAAAUGAUGAGAAGCACAACUCCAGUGUGUCUCUUUGUGUAGAAUGUCAGCAGACACCCCCUGCUAGAUGUGCUGGAUCAUGGGAAAGCAUUUCCAUUUGUUACUAGAUUGUUCAGAAGUUUUAAUUUAUGAUGGGUGUGGUGGCUCAUGCCUGUAGUCCCAGCACUGUGGGAGGCUGAGGCAGGAGGAUCAUCUGAGGCCAAGAGUUCAAGAUCAGCCUGGGCAACAUAGUGAUACCCUAUCUCUUAAAAAAGAAGAAGUUUUUAAAUUUGAAAUAAUAAUAGGUACUGGAUUUAUGCAAAUGUCUUUUCUGCGUCUUUUGAGAUGAGUAUCAGGUUUUUUUUUUUCCUUUUAUCAUCUGAUGAUGAACUUAAUGUUUCCAUUUGUAUUAAUGGAAUACUAAGUCCCUCUGUGAUUUCUGAACCAAGCUAUUCCUAGGCCUGAGUUUUAUUUUGUUGACACAGAAAUAAAUUAGAAGGCCAAGCGUGGUGGCAUGUGCCUGUAGUCCUAGUUGCUGAGGUAAGAGGAUUGCUUGAGCCCAGGAGUUCAAGGCUGCAGCAAGCUUUGAUUGCGCCACUGCACUCCAGCCUUGGCGACAGACUAAGACGCUGUCUCAAAAAAAAACAAAAACGACAAAAAAAAAACAAAACAGAAAAAAUAAACUAAGGCAAUGACAGUCCCUGGCAAAUGCUGGGAGGGAGGCAGCAGUGGUCAGGGAAGGUAACCCUGAAGCAGGACUUGUAAAGCAAAUAAGAUUGGGAGGCCAAGGUGGGUGGAUCACGAGGUCAGGAGUUCGAGACCAGCCUGGCCAACAUAGUGAAACCCCGUCUUUACUAAAAAUACAAAAAAAUUAGCCAGGUGUGGUGGUGGGUGCCUGUAGUCCCAGCUACUUGGGAGGCUGAGGCAGGAGAAUCUCGAACCCAGGAGGCGGAGGUUACAGUCAGCUGAGACCGCACCAUUGCACUCCAGCCUGGGUGACAGAGCAAGAUUCCGUCUCAAAAAAAAAAAAAAAAAAAAAACCAAGAAGAAAAGGAAUGAAUUAGAACUUCUUCUGCUUGGACUUAAGGGCAUCAUCAGGCAGGUUUUGGGUAGGAUAGCAGGGGAGGCAGAGACAUAGUCGGGGUCAGUGGUCAUGAGUGUGGCUUUGAGCCCAAAAACUUGGUUUCUGUUCCCUACUUUGCCACUCAGUAGUGCAUGACUUUGGCCAAAUUUCUUAAAUUCAUGAAGCAAGUUUCCGGGUGAAUGAAAUGGGGAUAAAAAUAGUGUUCAAACCUAUCCGUUGGUUUGUGUGAAACUGAAAUGAAUAGUAUCGUGCAGGUACUUGUGAGCAAGGGGAGCUGCUGUUUCCUGUCCCUUUAUGAUGGGAAAUAUCUAGACAAGUUCCCAACCCUCUGCACUGCAGGCUGCAUGGCACGGAGGGUCUUGUAACACCAGCUGGGGCUGGCCUUCUUUUAGGAGCUUCAGUGGUUCUGAAAACUUUUAUUUGUUUGUUUGUUUUAGUAGAUGUGGGGUCUUUCUGUGUUGCCCGGACUGGUCUCAAACUUCUGGACUCAAGUGAUCCUCCCCCGCUCAACCUCCCAAAGUGUUGGGAUUACAGGUGUGAGCCACUGUGCCCAGCCUUGAAAACUUUUUCAGGUUCUUCCAGGGUUACUGGGCUAUUAAAUAUUUCUAUUUCAUUAUAAGUCAGUUUUUCAAAGUUAUAUUAUCUUAAUUACCUUUUUUAUAUGUAUUAGUGUAGAGUAGCAUUUUAUAUUUUGAUAUCCUCCUUAUGCAUAGUUUUUCACUUUUUAUUCCUAGUUUUUCGUUUUUAAUAAGACUUUCAAGAAAUUUAUUUUAUUGGCCUUUUGAAAAAAGCAGCUUUAGAUAAAGUAAGCAGUUCUGCUUUCAUUUUAUAAUUUAUUUCUACUUUUGUUUCAUUAAUCUUUUCCUCCGGCAUGCCUUGGAUUUUGUUGUGUUACUCUUUUUCUAGAGGCUCGCAUUGUGUGUCUGGUUCACUUAUGAUCACGCUUGCCUACUUUUAAGAAUGGAAGAGGGGAGGUGGAGGGUGGCUGCACAGUCGAGGGUGUGAGGCAGUCUUGCUCUAGCCCCACCAUGCCCUCAGCCCGCUGUGGCCACGCUGGUUCCUCAAUUGCUGGGGCGUGCAGUGUCUGUAAGGGAGGCUACUGAUGCCAUCCGAGGAAGAUGUAAGGUUUCGUGUGGGCAGCGAGAGCCUAGCAGGCAUGUGGGGUGCCCAGCAAAGGGUAACAGUGGACAGUUGUUGCCUCAUUCCACAGAGUUUUGAUUUUUUUUUUUUUUUUAAUGGUCACUCCAUCAACAUCCCCCAUGGCCAGAGCCUGAGCUGGUCCCCAGAGACACAGGCAUUCAGCUGACAGCCUCGCCUUCACGCUGCUGCUGUUCUCAUGGGGGACAGGCCUCAGGUGGCAAUGCACAAAUCAUUAGUUAAGGGCAGUUGUGACAGUUACCAAGGAGUGUAGUCCCCCGCCCCCCGCCCAGUGAAAACAGCCCUAACCAGGGGUGGGGACCUUUGGGCUCUGACCCGAAGGGUAGGAGAAGCUGGAAGGACAGCAUUCCUGUCUGCGAAGGCAGGAGCAAAGCUGCCAGGCUAUGAAGGAAAUGGCUGGAGCCUGAAGUCAUGCAAGCUGGGGCUGGCAGGGACAGGGCCAACUUCCAGGCCUGGGGGCCACCAUGAGGAUUCAGGACGUGACCCCCAGGGCACAUGAAGGCCUUCCAUCUGUAUUUAAGAAAAGACUUUAUCAGACGAGUAUGGUGGCUCACGCCUGAAUCUUAGCACUUUGGGAGGCUGAGGCAGGUGGAUCACGAGGUCAGGAGUUCAAUACCAGCCUGGCCAAUAUGGUAAAACCCCAUCUCUACUAAAACUACAAAAAUUAGCCAGGCAUGGUGGCGCACGCCUGUAGUCCCAGCUACUCGGGAGGCUGAGGCAGAAGAAUCACUUGAACCCGGGAGGUGGAGGUUACAGUGAGCCAAGAUCGCGCCACUACACUCCAGCCUGGGUGACAGAGUGAGACUCCGUCUCAAAAAAACCAAAAGACUUUAUCUUAUUUCCUAUAUGUUUGUGGUUUCAGUCCUGAUGUAUAAUUUGACCCUAGUUAGAAUGGUUAUCUGAGGAAGUGGCCUGUACGAUUUCUGCUUUUUUAAAUGUGUGGCUCCCUUUCUUCAUUGAUUAACGUAUGAUUAUUUUUAUAAAUGUUCCAUGGCAGUGGGAAGGGAUUCUCUGUCACAUUCCACAUCUGGAUCAGUUCCUCCCCAUUUUGUUGGUCAAAUCCGAUCUGCCAUAUCCUGUGUAAUGACAAGUGAGUUGCAUUCUCACCGUCACUCCUGGGGUCUCUCCGCUUCCCCUGAGCUGGCUCAGCAGUCUGCUCCAUGUGUUUUGAUGCAGGGUGACCCAUUGGUAUUCCCGACACUAACGCCCCCGUCUGUGGACUGCUUGCUGCUUGGGCUUCACUGUGUCUGGUGUUGACAGUGCAGACCUAAAGGUGUGCACACAUGUGCACACACACUCCGCUGUCUUCUUGUUUGCACUGGACUUAAAUAUCUAUGAGGGUUAUUUUCAACUGCUGAAUUUGGAAUGAUUUUUAUAUCUUUUCUGCUUUCUGCCCAUGUACAUGUGUUUAUUUUACACUGUUGUGAUUGGUAGUUACUAUGUGGGGACACAAUUACUUGGGCUGAAAUAAUCCACCUGUUGUGGUUGGGGUCCUCUGGGGCAUUCCAGGGUGAGAGGUUGUCACUGCCACCUGGGCCAUGUGGGCCGGCACCAGCAUUUUGUGGUUACGAAUUCUACAGUCACAAAUAUCUUUGGGCAAAUCCCCUUCUAUACCUCAAGGCAGCUUUUGGUUUGCAACCCCACUGGCCAGAGGGAAGGGCCAGUCACUUGGCUCUCUCACUGCCCUGCGCCCCAGAUGGUUCUAGGGCUGCUGUUUUCCCUUGGCCCUGCCAACACCACUGUUUUUACUUCUGCUCAUUGGCUGAGUGCAGUGGUUCCUGGAAGCCAGUGGCACGUUUCCCCGCGUAGCUCGCUUAUCCCACAGCACACACCCAAGGGUUCUGUUGCUAACACGCUGAAUUAAUUCUUUGCUCAUCUUACAGAGUGUGUUUUGACUGCCCCCAUUUCUGAGGCCUUGUAAGGCCAGAGCUUUGUUGCUUCAUCGGCAGGUUGGGACUUAGAUGGCCGUGAAUGUUUCCUCUCUGCUGCUGCAGUAAGUAAGUGCCCGCACCAUAGUGUGUUUGGAGGCUGAAGUUGAAGCGAGGCUGUGAGGGGAGAUGGACGUGUGAGGAGGGAUGAUGGGGCUUGAGCAAAGUGGGGGAGGGGGCAAAGGCAGUUGGCCCAACACAUUCCCCACCCCUUUGAGAGGUCUGAGGCCUGCAGACCUGGCUCGGAGCCCACCUGGUAGUCCUCAGACUGUGUGUGUGUGUGUGUGUGUGUGUGUGUGUGUGUGUGUGUGUGUGUGUGUGUGUGUGUAAAAGAGAGAAGUUGUGGAGAAAUGGGGGGCUGAUUCUGCUCAGAUUCAUCAGGAUGAGUAGAAGGCACCCAGCUCUCACCCUGGCCUGACAUGUGUGUCCCUGAGCAGGUUACAGUCCUCUCUGAGCCUCUGCUUCCCAUCUGGACCCUGCUGGGCAGGGCUUCUGAGCUCCUUAGCACUAGCAGGAGGGGCUCCAGGGGCCCUCCCUCCAUGGCAGCCAGGACAGGACUCUCAAAUGAGGACAGCAGAGCUCGUGGGGGGCUCCCACGGACCCGCCGUGGGCCCAGGGGAGGCAGAGCCUGAGCCAACAGCAGUGGUGCUGUGGACCGUGGAUCCUGAGGGUGGCCUGGGGCAAGUACCGGCUGAGGGUCCAGGUGGGCUUUGUGUACCUUUGGGUCCUGGGGCCCUGGUGACUUGGACUCCAGGUUAGAGUCAAGUGACAGGAGAAAGGCUGGUGGGGCCCUGUGCUUCCGACUUCAUUUCGAGUGAUGGCAGUUCCCAGGAAGGAAUCCACAGCUGACGGUGGCUGACAGAUCAGAGAAUGGAAGGCGAGGCAGGCGGGCGUCUGCGUGACCUCAGGUGCUUGGGGCCCAGCAGACCCAGAGAACCAUUUCCACUAGGCCAGGGUGCCGGAAGUGUCCACAGGUCUUAGAUUCCCUGUUCAGAUGAAAAGAUUUGUGCCUUUAAUGAUAAAAGUGAUCUGCAUAGAGUCAAAAAUUCAAGCCAUGGGUAUAAAAUGCAAGUAAAAUCCCUGCCCUCACCUAUCCCACCCUACUACACAGAGAUGUCCUCUCGAGUUUCCUAGACUCACUCUGGAAAUUUCUGUAUACACACAGAAGCUUGUGCCUCUGCUCGUGAAGGCAGAGGGAGGGAGAGCUGAAGGGCCAGCACCUUCUCACCUGUGGGCCCCCUCAGUGCUCGGUCCCAGAGCAUGCAGGACUGUGCCUCGUGUUCAGUUUGCUGGUCUGACUUCAUGCUCCUUGGGCAGGAUAUGCAUGUGCCAUGCUAGGAGACAUGUGGAUGUGAAGCUGGGGGACAAUGUCCCCUGGCUAUGCCUUUACAAGGGAAGUAAGGAAGGUAGGAGGUGAGCCUGGGAGGGAGGGAGGGAGGCGCGGAGCCGCCGCAGGUGUUUCUUUUACUGAGUGCAGCCCAUGGCCGCACUCAGGUUUUGCUUUUCACCUUCCCAUCUGUGAAAGAGUGAGCAGGAAAAAGCAAAAGGCGCUGGUGGUGGCACGUCCAGCACGGCUGGGCCGGGGUUCGAGUCCCCGCAGUGUUGCUGCUUCCUUCCAGCUCCCUCCUCCAGGCCUCUCCUCCCACCCCACCAGGGAUAUCUUGUCUCCUAGAGGGGUAGCAUUGGGUGGGGCACCCCAGGCCUCUCCCAGAAGCCCUCCUGCCCUGCUAUCCCCUCCCUCAUCCUCUGGGGCCCUGGGAAUACAGCAGGGGACGUGGGGCCACAGGCAGCUGAUAACUUAGCCCCCUCAGCCACUCCUGUGGGAGCGGGAGGGGGACAGCUUGGCGGCUCUGCACCCAAAGCUGUGGGGCCUACCUGGAGUGUCCCCACCCCUCAGGGCAUACUCCCCACUGCCCUCUUCUUCCCAGGAUCAACUCACCGCUACCCUCCUCUCCACAUCUGAGGACCAGCGUGGCUCUUCCAGGGAGGGCUUGGGGAGAUGAGGUCCAAGGGGAGAGGCCAGAAAUCCUGAGGCCUGGGCUGGAGAUGGGUGGGCGGACAGGGCCCAACGAACCGGCCCUUGUGCAGGAAGGCCAACAGCUGGGACCACAAGGUGCCGGGUGGGACAGGGAAGUCAGCCUGUGCUCUCCAGGCACCUGGGACCCAGGAGAUCCCCCCGGCUCAGCACCAGCAGAGGCAGCUGCUGUGAUCCUGGGCAGGCAGUGUCCUCCUCCCUCAGUCUCUGCCCCCUCCCAUCCCCAAGAGGGAGGCCAGGGGCUCACAGUCCAUUUCAUGGGCCAUGAUACUGAUGCUGUCUGCAGUUGGGGCAGCUUGCCUGACCACAAGGCUCUCCAGGGAGCCCCUGCCAAUCACUAUAAUAAUCUCCUUUAACGAGUCAGGCCCCAUAAGGAACAGCCAGAAGCAGGAGAGAGGGGUGAGAAGAGGCAGCGUGAAGCCGAGGUCUUGGCCGGCCAUGCCUGGGUGGUGAGGCCACAAGUCCACCCCUGCAACUGCAAGGGCAGCAGGGAGGAGCUGCAGGAUCUGCUGUCCUUGGAUGUGAUCAGCCUGCCACUGGGGACCAACAGGCCUAGACUCAUACAUGAGCCAAGGCACAGAGCCCAGGACUGAAGACAGAGAGGAGCCACCACACGGCAAAAGAGCAUGGACAUCUGAGUGCCACCUAGCCUGUGUGAGACUCCGUUUCUCUAUCUCUAAAAUGGAGUCCGCCAGGCGCAGUAGCUCAUGCUUGUAGUCCCAGUUACUCAGGAGGCUGAGGUGGGAGGAUCACAUAAGCCCAAGAGGUUGAGGCUGCAGUGAGCUAUGACUGCACCACUGCACUCCAGCCUGGGUGACAGAGUGAGACCGUGUCUCAAAAACAAAAACAAAUAAAUAAAAUGGAGUCACUGAUAGCUACCUCACAGGGUUGUUGAGAAAAUUCGGGAUAACAUUUACUGCUUGCCACAGGGAAGGUAUUAAAAAGUUACAG